rnacentral:rRNA from 1 species
CCUACGGGAGGCAGCAGUGGGGAAUCUUGCACAAUGGGGGAAACCCUGAUCCAGCCAUGCCGCGUGAGUGAUGAAGGCCCUAGGGUUGUAAAGCUCUUUCACCGGUGAAGAUAAUGACGGUAACCGGAGAAGAAGCCCCGGCUAACUUCGUGCCAGCAGCCGCGGUAAU